GGAUACUUGAGGAGGUGUUGAGUAUUAGUCCCAGCCUCCAUACGUCCUUGUCUUGUCUUGCUCUUUUUACUUGCUUUAAUUCAGACCAUUGAGUAGUUGGUGGCUGAUGCACUUGCAUCAAGAUCUGGGAUUUUAGUGGAGAAAAAGAGAAAUGCUCAAAGGGUAAAAGUGGAAACUAGAAAUCAGGAUCCUGUUGGGGAAUCCCUUCCUGCAGAUCCUGAUGCCUUCCAGCACACCGUUGCAGCGCAGCUGGUGCAUCACCAAAGGGUUCUCCAUGGCCCCAGGAGUCUUGGUUUCAUUGGGGAUGAUGCAGCGCACAAAGUGAGGUCACGGGAACUCACAAGGGAUGAGAGAAGCAUCUUGGUGCCCUCAAGUUUGAAACUGGAGCCAGCCAAGCUAUUGCGGGAGAUCUCAGAAUCACACUCUCAGCCCUGCUUCUCUCCUGGAGAGGUCCUGACCACGGUAUGAUGAAGAGAAUGGAUAAGUUCAGCCAGUCUGGUGGAAAGUGUGAAGCUUAGGUGUAAUGGUGGUGGCCAUGAACAGAGGGAAGGAGUGAGUGGUUAUACCUAAAACUGGUAUUUGGGAUCAACAUGUCUUAAGGUUAAGCCCAGUACGAGUUUAUCCCACAGCCCAAGGCAUGCCACUGCAUCUAUGGCCAAUGUUUGUGUAAGAACUGCUUCUGCGAACCCAAGUGCCCCCCCGGGCCCGAUAUGCAUCCAGGGGAGCAGAAAGAGUGGGGGCCACACAUUUUGACUUGAUUUACUGAAUUAUGAGGCCUUUUCAGUUUUUUGUAAUAUAUAAGUAGAUAGUCACAAUGUUAAUUUGAAUGAACACAUUUCAACACUUUCUGUACAUGUUGAUCCAGUAGUUUUGGAUAGUAAUCUCUUCAUCACCAGUCUCAUACUUGUAUUAACUU
rnacentral:lncRNA from 1 species